rfam:Rattus norvegicus chromosome 10, whole genome shotgun sequence.
GGGGAUUUAGCUCAGCGGUAGAGCGCUUGCCUAGCAAGCACAAGGCCCUGGGUUCGAUCCCCAGCUCCG